rnacentral:lncRNA from 1 species
UGAAAGCUACUUAGAAGAGUUCACAAAAGCACUUGCAACUUUGGGAUGACUUGCAACAAACAAAGCAAAGUACUAAGGAUUACAUUUACAUGUAACAAUAAAAAAGAUAAGGUGAAAUCUAUUUCACAGACUGCACAGUAUGUUCCUUGGAUGCCUCAGCUAUUACUGGCAAUAUCUUUUGAGAUACAAAUAAAUAAUCCAUGACAUCACAGUGUGAAUGGCUUCCAACAGCCUAAAUGUUUAUGAUCACACAAUUGACAGUUCAACACUUGUCAUGAGUAUAAAAGGUCCAGGAUCCAAGAAAAGCACACUCUGAUCAGAGACCAAGUCAUGAGUAUAAAAGGUCCAGGAUCCAAGAAAAGCACACUCUGAUCAGAGACCAAGGGAAUCAAACGAUAAUAAUAAAAUAAAAAGGUCCAGAGUGGUCUCAGUUCUGGAUCAUACCAUCCGUCACAAAGUAAUGUCCGCUUAUGGGGAAAAAUCAUAUGCAAAAGCUUAGAUGUUAUUUAGAGUAAGAAUCUCUUUUAAACUCCAAUAAAAUAAGAUCCAAGAUUAACUGAUUUAGUGGUCCUAGACAUAUAUCUAACGGAGCAUGGUGGCAGCAUAUUUAUAAAAGACACGCCCAAGCUGGUUCUAAUGCACAAGCAAGUGUUUGGCACACAUCUGAUUACAAGAAAAUUUGGGAGCCUGCCUAGCUUUGACGUCUAUGCGGCAUUUUUAUCAGAGUUAUUGUUUGGAAAAAGCACCUCCAAAAAAUGUUAGUUAGAAGAUAUUAAAUUGAUUUAAAGUUAAACUUGAAAUGUUUUAUCAUAAACUUCAAAAUAAAUAAACAACCUUUUUCAACAUCUAUAAUAAUUUUUUCCCCACCAAGAAGUGCUUUUCAAUCAACAAGUCCCAAAUUCAAUCCCAAACGGGCCUGUAGUAAAUGUGCAGUUGUGAUGUUCUUUAAGCAAGAAAAUCACUGGAGUUCAUUUUCAGGAAGCAGUGGCAUUCUGUAAUUUCCAGCUUUUGCUAGAAAAGGUUGGUUGAACAUCACAAGGGUUUAAUUUUGAGUCCUGUUUACAUUUUUUUUUUUUGGGGAAUUAUUUAUGAUUUGGACAAAGAUUAAUCCUCUUAAUUUCCAUGGAAAUACAAUGCAACAGCAUCACACUCAGAAAACCAUUAGGUUUGAACAGCCCAUUAACACCAUUCAAUGCCUCAAAAAAUUCAUAGAAGCACAUCAACAUAUCCACUGAAAGACUGAAGAAAAGAACUCGCUAGGAUUGGUGCAGUGUUUGGAGUCAGACUAGCAUAAUGAAAUUGCAAAUAGGAAUAUUAUAAACC